rnacentral:tRNA from 1 species
GGCUCUAUAGGUUUAAGACCAUUAAAUUGCAAAUUUAAAAGAACAUUUUGUUAGAGCUU